rnacentral:rRNA from 1 species
GCAAGUCGAGCGGAAACGAUGAGAAGCUUGCUUUUCAGGCGUCGAGCGGCGGACGGGUGAGUAAUGCUUGGGAAUAUGCCUUUGAGUGGGGGACAACAGUUGGAAACGACUGCUAAUACCGCAUAACGUCUACGGACCAAAGGGGGGGAUUCUUCGGAACCUCUCGCCAUUUGAUUAGCCCAAGUGAGAUUAGCUAGUUGGUAAGGUAAUGGCUUACCAAGGCGACGAUCUCUAGCUGGUUUGAGAGGAUGAUC